AGAUGAUCAUGGUAACAGCAAUGGCAGUCAUGUGAAAAUAUUCCUACCCAAGAAGCUGCUCGAAUGCCUCCCGAAAUGUUCCUCUCUUCCCAAGGAAAGGCACCGCUGGAACACCAAUGAGACUCGUGCGUCCAGACGCCAUAUUGGAUUUCUUGUUAUUAUUGUGAACUUGACCCCUGAACCCUGACUUCCUGCAUUACCUUGGUAACCAUUUCAUUUUUUAUUUCCUUGCAUUUAAGAUUUUAUUUUGAUUUUUGAAUUUAAUUUUUUUUUUUUACUUAUUUGCAUAAUUCACAUGCAUUUUAUAUUUAGUCCAUUAAACAUUUCUCUGUAAGUCUGUAAAAUCAAUAACCGGUAAUUGUAAAGUAAGCACCCACAGUAGAAAACAUUUCAUUUAUUUUCUAGUAUUAAUAUUAUUUAUUAUGUGUUGUUUUUUCUUGCAUUUCCUUUUGUUUUCUGUUAACCUUGUGUACCUUCAGUUUGCAUCAUUCUCAACUUUAGCCCAAUAAACUAUUUAUAAUAUUUUAA